UGAAAGUUAGCUUCAUGAGGAAUUCCAAGUGGAACUGAAAUAAUAAAUUACAAAUUUCAUCAUUUUUUAUAGAAUUUAGACCCUAUUGAAAUUAUUAGAUUUUCACCAUCUCUUUCCUUAAUUAGGUACCUAUUCUAAAUAAUUUCCACAGAAAAGUUGAUUUGUUAAAAAAAUAUCCUUAGGAUCAACCUUUUCUACCGGUGAAGCUGAACUUUAUUGGAUGUAGGAAGAAGAAAUUGAUGAAUCUCUCUUAAUAUCUGAUAUUUUACUUCUGUCUAAAUUAUAUACUAGUGUCUGGAUCUCUCAAGUGGAGUCUAAGGAAUGUGAUGCUGGGUUCAGUUCUGGGAGCAGCAGUCUGUUUCCGUCUUGGCUGGAUCCACUGGAAACUUGUGGAGAAAGCGAAUGAAGGGAAUAUUGCUGCUCAUUCAGGUCAAAGUGGAGAAGUGAAGAGCGGUGUGAGUGCAGCCAUUGACAGGCUUGAAGAAAACUUGAACAAAUAGAGAAUUUCUUUUUGGCACAGGUCUCCAUCAGUUUUGCAUCAAGAGACACAAGAUUAAGAGCAGAAAUUGGGCGAGCAAAAACAAUUCCAAAUCUCAAAUGUCCUGUGGCAAGCUGUCAAUGAAAGUAGGAUAUUUGUUUGCCUCGCUCCCUGGCCUUUCAACUAAUAUCGUUUUUUUCCUUAAAAUGUUGUAUUGUGUGUUGGUAUGACUAUCCUGCAACUUUAAUGGCAAUGAGGUUUUAAACCCAAUCUGUCUUGCGCAGAUGGUAUCUGCUAUAGUUUUUUAUAUGUACUUCAAAAUGCAGAACCGUAGGGCUGGUCAUAAAAUCUGUUCUAAACUCGUCUGCGUAAAGACUUAAAUAUGCUCUAAA